rnacentral:rRNA from 1 species
AUUGAACGCUGGCGGCAGGCAUAACACAAGCAAGUCGCACGAGUGGCGGACGGGUUAGUAAUGGCGGGGAAACUGCCCGAUGGAGGGGGAUAACUACUGGAAACGGUAGCUAAUACGGCAUACCAUAGGAUGUGCCCAGCUGGGAUUAGCUAGUAGGUGGGGUAACGGCUCACCUAGGCGACGAUCCCUAGCUGGUCUGAGCGGAUGACCACCGACCCUGGACCGUAGACAAGGUCCAGACUCCUACGGGAGGCAGCAGUGGCGAAUAUUGCACAAUGGGCGCAAGCCUGAUGCAGCCAUGCCGCGUGUAUGAAGAAGGCCGUCGGGUUGUAAAGUACUUUCAGCGAGGAGGCGUUACUCGCAGAAGACGCACCGGCUAACUCCGUGCCAGCCGCCGCGGUAAUUC